UCCCGGCUAGCGCAAUCGGUCAGAGCGUCAGACUUUUAUGCAUACGUGUGGAAUCUGAAGGCUACGAGUUCGACUCUCGUGUCGGGAG
rfam:Calocera cornea HHB12733 unplaced genomic scaffold CALCOscaffold_126, whole genome shotgun sequence.